ensembl:misc_RNA Y_RNA Y RNA
GGCUGGUCCAAAGGUAGUGAGUUAUCACAACUGAUUGUUCACAGGCAGUUACAGGUCGAACUCUUUGCUCUACUCUUUCACCCCUUCUUGCUACUACACUUGACUAGUCUUAA